UGAAAUCUUCAAUUCCGUAGUGCAUUGCAGUUUGUUGAACUCCGAAAUUACUGCAAGCAUUGUGGAAAUGAUGAUUUUAUG
rnacentral:pre_miRNA from 1 species